AUUGAACGCUGGCGGCAUGCCUUACACAUGCAAGUCGAACGGUAACAGGUCUUCGGAUGCUGACGAGUGGCGAACGGGUGAGUAAUACAUCGGAACGUGCCUAGUAGUGGGGGACAACUACUCGAAAGAGUGGCUAAUACCGCAUGAGAUCUACGGAUGAAAGCAGGGGAUCGCAAGACCUUGUGCUACUAGAGCGGCCGAUGGCAGAUUAGGUAGUUGGUGGGAUAAAAGCUUACCAAGCCGACGGUCUGUAGCUGGUCUGAGAGGACGAUCAGCCACACUGGGACUGAGACACGGCCCAGACUCCUACGGGAGGCAGCAGUGGGGAAUUUUGGACAAUGGGCGCAAGCCUGAUCCAGCAAUGCCGCGUGCAGGAUGAAGGCCUUCGGGUUGUAAACUGCUUUUGUACGGAACGAAAAGCCCCGGGUUAAUACCCUGGGGUCAUGACGGUACCGUAAGAAUAAGCACCGGCUAACUACGUGCCAGCCGCCGCGGUAA
rnacentral:rRNA from 1 species